AUGCUUUUGUAGUUCUUAAGUGUGAUAACUGGGUUUUCACAUACAUGAGAGAUUGUCUCCCUCAAAUCUUAUUGUCCAUCUGAUG
ensembl:snoRNA